rnacentral:lncRNA from 1 species
GUAAGGCCACAAGGCCUGAGAGAGAGAGCGGCUACCCUUGGCCUCACUGUCCUGUGGGUUUGUGAGCUAUUAAUUUUCCUUUUCCACUUCAGUUAUUUAGAGUUGGUUUCUGUCCCUUGCAAAACCUUGGUUUCUAUAUACAAUUUUUUUUUUGCUUUUUUUUUUUUUUUUUUGCUUUUUUAGGGUCCCACCCACGUCAUAUGGAAAUUCUCAGGCUAGGGGUCGAAUCAGAGCUGCAGCUGGCAGCCUACACCACAGCCACAGCAACGUGCAAUCUGAGCCUCAUCUGUGACCUAUGCUUGCAGCAACGCCAGAUCCUUAACCCAUUGAGUGAGGCCAGGGAUCGAACCCAUGUUCUCAUGGAUCCUAGUUGGGUUCAUUACCCGCUGAACCACAACGGGAACUCGCUCUAUGCCCGUUUUUGAGGCACACAAUGCUCUUCUCCAAAAACUCGUGCCUUCUUCUUUCCAAAGCUGUGGGGCUUGGAGGAAAUAAAGAUGAUUUGAACCAGAGACUGAAAGACAAGUGUCAGAGCCAUCUCGUAUUCAAAGAACAUCUGGGUUUAGAGAGAAAACUAGCCUCCUCGAAAAUGACAGAUUUGAUUAUGGAAUCCAGACUGCCCUCCACCCACACAGUCUUCAGUGAAGAGGUAUUUUUCAUUAUUAAAAUCCCGGCACUCCCCUGAGCAGUGACAGUCUCUUUAACCAAAUGGUGGAGUGUUUUUGUGAAGUGUUUACUUGCUUAAUUCAUCAAACCCUCUCUGAACUCAGCUGUUAUGUGCUUGAGAGAAUUUUAGCUUCUAAUUUUUAUUUAAAAAGAAAUAAACAUGUCACUUUAAGUACAAUCAUUGGAGCAAGAGGAACAAUCUACAUGGUUUGCGUCCUUCCUUUUGGAUUCUUUUUAACUCCAUCCUGUUCAAAGAGCCUCGAGUCAGCCUCAUGUUGAUGAGAUGCUUUUGCUGUAGAAUUUCCCUGACUGUGAGGCAGUAAAUGUUAAGUCAAUACUCUUUUUAUACCCAUCAAAGUGAUGCUUCGCUACACAAACCCCCUUUUCCCUGUUGCUGCUGUAGUCGAGGAUCCAGAAAAUUGUAUAUGGCAGUGCUCUAAACACCGUUACUCAAUCUGCUCCCUGGAACUUCCAAACCCUGUUUAGCUGUUCAAUUCUCCCUUGCAGGAUCACUGGAGAGCCUGCCUUCACCCCGAAGCCUGCUGCUUAGAGUGCUUUAUGACACUCAAAUAUUAUAUAACCCAGUUUUAGAGGGAGGGGUAGGUGGGGGGAAUGGGCGAAAUAAGACCAGGGGCGUUAGCGAUGCCAAAAUGUCAAAGUGAUGGACUUUAAAGGCAGUCCUUAAGGACAUUUGGAACUUCUGCACCAGAGUCCACGUCUUCAUUAGGCCCAGGCUGAGGGUGUUCUCGCAUUGACCAUGAAAACUGCUCUCUGAAAUCCAAGUCUCCAGGUGUCCUGCUCUGGUCCCAUGAUCACGAGAUGGUCAGUCCAGGUGAUGGGAGCUGGCCUUGCCCAGCCUCCCAGCACAGUGGCAGGGGCCCAUGCUCUCAUCGUAAUUGCUGUCCACAGCGACUUAGGUCGCCGUGUCUAAAGCCUCUUCCAUGGCCCCCGAUGUACUGGAGGUGAGGAAAGAGCGCCCCAUUGGCCAGCUCACCCAGUUUAUGGAGACCCCCUUAGUGGAUCUCUCAGGCUUUCUAGCUCUGCAGCCUUCCCACCCAAUCCCCUCGGCGCUCAGCACACACGCUCCUUGGGAACACCUGAGAACACGGGGAGUUACUCUGCCCAGCGGAGAACCCCCUGUUCCCCAAUUCUCUGCCUUUAAGUCAGUGACUCAGGCAAGGAGAUGUUCUGGAAACCCCUCUGUUCAGGGAAGGCCCACUUGAGAAGGUCAUUGCAAGACCUUGCUGAGGGUCUGUCCUGCUGUCCCCACGUGCACUCACAGACACUCAUGCUUACUCUGGAAAUAAUCCCCAAAGUGUUGGGUCACCACAGCUUCAGGGAGCCACCUCCUGCCCUGUGAGCAGCUCCGUUUCCCAUGGUGGGCUCUGCAGGUGGUGUUAUUGCUGGGAUCUUAGCGGGGGGUUAGAAUCAGGGCAUCCCAUCCAAGAAUCUCACCCCAUUUCAGCUUGGACACUGUGCCCCACCACUCCGCACCAAGCACCGGAGGUCAGGCUCUCACCUCCUCUGCCCCUUCUCUCACUGUUCACAGGAAGUCACUUUCACUUUCUCAAGCGGCAAGAACGCCCCCCUUGCCUUGAGCCAAGUUAUUUUUUCCUGCUGCUUCUAUCUUCUGACUUCAGUUUCGCCCUCCAGAAUCAUAAUAGAUGAUAAGCCCAUUCCCAUCCUGGUUUGGAGAUGGUUCUCUCGUCCUCCCAGGCCUUCUUGUUUUAGUCCAAACACCCCCAGUUCUUUUCAUCAGUCCUCACUUGCUAUACUUCCACUCCCCUGAUCUCAUGGUCAUUUAUGGACAAGCUUGAGGUUGGAAAGGAAUUGGGCUCUUGCAAAAGUCCUUCCAGGCUUGAGCUCUGUGAGUGGUCUGCUCUGGGCAGGAUGGGCAAGAGUGUUUAUCACCUUCUGCAUGGGCAUCAGACCUGCCGUUGGGGUGGCUUUGGAUCAGGGGAGCUUUCUUGGAACUUCCCUGCAAGUCACACCGAGGAAUCCUUUGAGGGCUGUCUUCCCGAGUCUCCCUGUGGAUUCUGCACCUCGUGUUUGACCUUUGGCAGAACUCAGACCUCCUCUGGCUCUUCCCUCCCUCGGCAGCAUCCUAUCCUUUUUGCAAAUCCAGGCAUGGAGCUCAGCAACUUUCCUGGAUGUUGAGAACCAUCUGUUUCUGUGCCCGGCUUAGGUGAGCCAUGGGACUUCUGGUUCCUAAAGUCUCUGACCAUUGUCACCAGCCUGGGCUCCUGGUUCUUCCACCAGUUUGCUCUCUCCUUUCUCCUCUGCUCCAAUGCACCCCCUGUUUGCAGUAAACCCUCAAAUCUUCCUCCCUUUAAAUACACAGAACAGUUGUGCUUUCCAGUUUUUCACUCCCAGACUAGACGCUGAGCCUCUCCGCAGACCAGAAAUUCAUCAGGAUCCUCCCUACGCAGUGGGGCGUCCGCCUGAAGAGUUGCUCCUUCUCUCUUCCUCAUCAAGGUCUUCAAGAAGGAGAGGGCCUAGAGAUUUUGUUCCACUGCUGUUUGGAUUGCGUUUUGGUCCUCAGCUUCUAAGAAGACAGGGCUGCAGUUACCAGGUUAGAUUUUGUUUCCAAAAACAAUAGUUUCCUUCCACUGCCAUUCGAAAGCCUUGAAGGCACUUCCUGUUCCCCAAGGAAGUCUCUGGAACAUUCCAAGGAGCCUCAUUGGCCCCCAGUACAGAGGAGUCUGAGGGGGACUUCUAGCUCUUACUGCUUCAUGGGGCCGUGAGAAUGGCUGCUUUUGUGGGGUGGGUCCUUUGUCCCUUUCACCCCAGGCUGGGAUAAUGCCUAAGAGGCUGAUCGCUACCCUCUUUGCCGAGGUUCCGGGAAUACUACAGUGAGGGAAAUAAAUUUCUAAUUGUCUAAAAACCACUGUGGUUUGGAGCCAUUCUUUCGGGCUUUAGGGCUCAAUCUUGGAUCCUCUGGUGGUUCCUUUAAAACAGCCUGGAUGUGUGGUCCUCUCCAUCUCGACUCACUAAGCCAGCCAGUAUUUACUGAGCACCUGCUAUGAUCCAGGAACCUGGACAUGUACUAAAACACAGCAGGAAGUGACACAGCAUCUUGGAGUUCACAGCAUCGUGGAGAAUGCAGAUGCCAGAGCAAAUUAAUCCCAGGGUAAUGAGAAUCACAGCACGGAAAAUUCAAACUACAUAUCCUCUGCUCCCUCUGAAGAGCAUGAUAUGUGUGUCUUCUUGGCAAGUAAAUUUUAAAGCGCUCACCGUGGACUUCAGCACACCUCAGGGCAAUUAUUCCUGGGUAUUUCAUAUUUAUUGUCAUGACUGCAUGUGGAAUUUUCCUCCCAUUACACUUUCUGCCAGGUUAUUAUUGGUGUAAAACGAAAGCCAUCGAUUUUUAUGGAUUUAUUUUGUAAACCGGACACCUUAUUAAACUCUUUUAUUGUGUUUUAAAAUUUGGUAAUAGCUUUUCCACUGCGGGCAAUUUUCGCUGACCUCUGGAUGCUGUUCUCUUUCCAGGACUGCCUUGUCUCUGCCAUUGCAGUGAGAAUAAACAUUG